AGCAGCCGCGGUAAUUCCAGCUCCAAUAGCGUAUAUUAAAGUUGUUGCAGUUAAAAAGCUCGUAGUUGAAUUUCGGGGUCAGUAGGUUGGUCAUGCUUUCGGUAUGUACUGGUCUCACUGAUUCCUCCCUCUUGAAGAACCGUAAUGUCAUUAAUUUGAUGUUGCGGGGAAACAGGACUGUUACUUUGAAAAAAUUAGAGUGUUUAAGGCAGGCUCACGCUUGAAUACAUUAGCAUGGAAUAAUGAAAUAGGACGUUCGAUCCUAUUUUGUUGGUUUCUAGGAGUGACGUAAUGAUUAAUAGGGAUAGUUGGGGGCAUUAGUAUUCAAUUGUCAGAGGUGAAAUUCUUGGAUUUAUUGAAGACUAACUACUGCGAAAGCAUUUGCCAAGGAUGUUUUCAUUAAUCAAGAACGAAAGUUAGGGGGAUCGAAGACGAUCAGAUACCGUCGUAGUCUUAACCAUAAACUAUGCCGACUAGGGAUCGGAUGAUGUUAAUUUUUAAUGACUCAUUCGGCGCCUUA
rnacentral:rRNA from 1 species